rnacentral:rRNA from 1 species
GAUGAACGCUGGCGGCGUGCCUAAUACAUGCAAGUCGAGCGAACAGACGAGGAGCUUGCUCCUCUGACGUUAGCGGCGGACGGGUGAGUAACACGUGGAUAACCUACCUAUAAGACUGGGAUAACUUCGGGAAACCGGAGCUAAUACCGGAUAAUAUAUUGAACCGCAUUGUUCAAUAGUGAAAGACGGUUUUGCUGUCACUUAUAGAUGGAUCCGCGCCGCAUUAGCUAGUUGGUAAGGUAACGGCUUACCAAGGCAACGAUGCGUAGCCGACGUGAGAGCGGGAAGCGGGCCUGUGGAACUGAGAGGCGGCACAGGCACCUAGGGGCGGCCCAAGUAGGGACUGGUGGCAACAGGGGGGAAGCUUGCAGGAGCAGCGGAGGGUGGGUGCUGCAGGUCCUCGGACCGUAUGACGCUCUUAUUAGUGAAGACCACAUGUAUCAGUAACGAUGCUCGUGGUGACGGUACCUGCUGAGAAAGCACCGGCUAACUACGUG